UUCAUAGACCUACUUAAAAAGCUGAGUUCACCUUGUGUUGAUUUUUCUUCAUCUUUUCUUGAAUGUGUUUCUCUUAUUAUGUUUUUUAAUUAUGCACAGCUAAAAGUGAUCCAUAUUCCUUGAACCCUGGUCACUAAGGAAGCAGAAGGCAGAAAGCAGGGUAUCUUUGGAACCAAAACCUCCUGCCGUAUGGCCAGGGGAAGAGGCCGUGGUGGAGAGGAGCAGAGAGAACCUUUCGUCCUGCAAGUGGGUGUUUUGUUUGGAGGAGAACUGGCUGGCUGUCACCUGAAGAAUCACCUGCAAGCCCCGGGAGCUGCCGCGGGGAUACUGAACAGUGGGAACCACUGCUCUGUCGGAUUUGAGGGCAUCUGCAGGUGUUGCAAUGGGACAGUGUUGGAUUUCAUGUGACAAUCAUCAUGGACAACAUGGAAAAAGGUGAGGCAUCAGGUUCCAGAUUAUCUGGGUUUAAAUCUAGGCUAUAUCACUUGUAGAUGUAGGUCCAUAAGGAAGUGAAUUAACCCUCCGAGGCUGAGUUUAUUCACUGAAGAGUGAUAAGAAUUGUCUCUAACAGAAUUGCUCUGAGUAAGAGAAACCUCUGAAGGAAAUAACAGAGUGGUAGAGGAAAAAGAAGCGCAGACUAAAGGAGGAAAACAUGGUUAGUCAAUAGUUUCAUACGUUUUAUAUCAGUCCUAAAAGAUGAGUGCUGAGAGAAGGCUAGUGGUUAGAAUGUCACUUCUUUCUUCCUUUAAGAUGACAGUUUCAGGGGUAUGUCUGGGGAGAAGCCAACUGUAUAUGAAGAAGAGUGUCGUCAUGGCUAGCCCCAUUUGUUUGUUCUUAUUGACCUGCUUCUUUUAACUGACUCUAGGUGACAUUUUGAUCUGCUAUGACUGCUUGUGAGAAGCAAUGUCAAUUCAAGGUCAGUAGUCCUCAGUUUGAGAGUCUUCCGGCCUUGUUUAAGAAGAGCAGCUUGGUAUCCUUUGGUUUGAAUAAACUGCUUUAUACAUAUAUUUUUAAAAGCUAU
rnacentral:lncRNA from 1 species